ACCCAGGCGCCAUCAGCGCGCGCCGCCGGUCACAUGUCCUUUGUUUACCCCGGUCACAGCCGCGGUGGGUGAGGGACGGACAGACCGACCCCGACCGACAGACCGACCACCCAGCGGGGGGCAGCGGGAGAUUGGCGUGGGGGAAAAAGGGAAUGGCGGCGAGGAACGAGUGCACCCCGCAGAGACGCUGUGUGGGCUUGUCCCCUCUCGGGCGGUGUGAGGCUCAGCAUGUCCCUCCCAGCAAAGAGAUGUGGAAGGCCCCUAGUGUUGUCUUUUCUGGAAAACAAAAAGAGAAAGCGAAGUGUUGAUAGAAGAAGGGGGAAAACAACAAUUUACGUGGGAAAUCACACUGACCGGUAGCUGACGCUCAAGGAGAAGUUGGAUCUCAGAAAUGACACAGAAGUCGCAGGGUUUUUACUGGAACUUCUCUUCAUCUUGAGUAAAGUGUUCUCUGAAAAGCCGUGUGAUUGCUGUCCAGCUGGAAAGUGCAAUUCCCUUGGGAAGCAAAUAAACCAUCUCCAGGGAAGGUCCUGCAAGUGUUAAUGCUACAACUCACCAUGGCAAAGGUGAUCAGCUGAGGAGUUUCUUAGCAAGCAGGAAAGUGUGAGUUAAAUUUAAAAGAAAAAAGGAAAGGGAAAAAAAAAAGCCUGAUAAAUAUAACUUGCUUGGUAGGACAGCUUCCUGUUCCCUUCAAACAAAUCAAUUUUCAGUGCCUUGUUUUGACUAGUUGCAAUUUUUAAUUGGCUUAAAAGAUUCUGCUUGUACUGCUUUUGAUCUGUACUGUUCAUAGUUUGUUUUUAAUUAAAGAAAGGAGAAAAAAAAGAAAAACAACCACCCCCACCCCUGUCAAACCACAGUCUGUGGUUGUUUCACUAAUGUGGCUUCAAAGGGACUGCAACACAGCUUUUCCUUACAGACAAUUGAGUGCUUAGUGUCAGACAAAUCAUUUAUUGUAAUGCUGAAUGCUGGUCUGUAUUUCACUAGUGAAACCUCUGUUUGUAUAUCAUAAUACAUAAGCUGUUGGUCUCUUUAGGGGUACUGCACAUAGAAAAGCACAAAUGCACUUACUGUGAUAUUUCCUCUUAUUUCCAGGUUAGGAGAUUGUAUUAAGGGAGUGCACUUCCCUAGACAUAAUGAAACAAUAUGAAUUUAUUUCAUGUUUAAGUGUUUGAAUGUCAUAUUGUAACUGUUAUUACUGUGUUGCUUUUCAGGGUGAGCAGCAAGAAGAAAAUCAAGCUCUUGCAUAACAAUACUGGGGCAAUUUUUGCUCCAUUUUGAUUUUGCUAUGAGGAUCUUGUGAACUGUAAAGAAUUACUGUAAGUUGUGUGAAAUUCUGUGUUGUGUUGAACAGCACAUUAAACUCAAUUACCUAAAGUUUUAUUGUGUUAUGUCAAUGUUUAAGUGUGGAGUGGAUUAUUUCCCUGGAAGAGUCUGUAGAGAGUUCUCUGAGGGGCAACAAAAGAAGACAAGCUAAAGUGCUCAUGGUAUUGCUAAACUUAGAAUUUGAUAACUUUUUGUAGGUUAUUUUAAUGACUGAGUUCCUUACAUUUUAUUUAAAACUCAGAAGGGUUCUAGUGUCAGUUGCAGUAUCAAGUGUGCUUCCCUCUGAAUGUGUUUCUUGGAAUGCUUCUCUUUAGGGAACAAAUGUAACAUAUCCCGUGUAUUGGAAGGGAAAUGAUGGGUAAAAAUGCUGGACUGUAGAUUGCAUUGGUGCCUUUGAGAAAAUGGGUAAUUGAGAUCAGCUACUGUGGUGCUUAUCCAAAAUCAUCUGUCAUUGAAUCAUUUGAUGUCUGGCUUUGCUUUUGAUAGUACAUGAGCUGAUAAGUGAUGCAUGUUAAUUAUUUUCUUGUGUCACAGAGAUGGAGUAAGAGCAGUACUGGCAGUAACUGAAGUUCUACAGAACAGUGGUGGCACUGAAUGUUUUGUAGUUACCAAGUGUGAGUAAUCCUGGAGAGGUUUUGAACCAAGAACUUGAGGUUGGUGCAGCAUUCAGGGUAUUCAGUGUUUGGUUAUCAGAAGCACAGAAACUUCCAGUGUUCUGAACUUUUUUUUCUUUAACCACACACUUGCAUAAGCUUUCAGGUCUUGAUCUUACAGUUUUCAAGCCAGCUGGGCUUUCCCACCAGCUUACACUGAGCAGCCUCACUGUGGGGAGAAAUUCCCCUAAUUAGAUCAUUCUAGUCUGCAUUCAGUUUUUUAAAUCAGCUACUGCACUGGCUGUGAGAAACUGCUGUUGCUCUUAAAUAUUAUCAUGAGGCUUUUGAAGUGUCUGAAUUCAAUGUUGCUUUAUGAACCAUAGAUUCUACUGAAUGUUGGACAGAUAGAUUUAAAAAAAGUUGAGAAGGCAGUUUUUUGAGACUUUCUCAAAAUGAAAAUGCCACUUGUUCUGUAUUUGUGUUUUCUCUUUGCUCUGUACUUUUCAGGUUUUUCUUUGACCAAACAAUGACUCAUGUAAAUAACUCAGAUUAGUUUGGCUCAUGGAAGGAGUGGGACUGGUGACACCUGUGCUCAGUGAAGCUCUCAGAUUUUCAAUUGUUGAUGUCAUUGCAGUGAGAAGGGAAGAGGACUCAGCCUGCUGUUACAUUUUCCUCCAAAGUCCUCAAGAUCUGAAGAAUCCACAACUGCAUAUUCUCAGCCAGUUCAACCUCAUUCUUGUGCCUUUUUAAAUGCACACUGCAAAUAUUUCUAUUAUUUAAUGACUUGCUGUUAUGCAAGUAGAAUAACACUGCCAGUACCUGAUUUGUUGAGUUGCACUCACUGUGUAAAUUACUGGUAGAAGGAUUAUUCUUGUUCAUAGUACUGAAAUAGAGCACAACUCAUCCCUUACUAAGGCUUCCUCCAAACCUCCCAUGACACUGGCACUUCAUGCUGAAGGAAAACCAAGAGAAAGAAGACUUCUAAACAUUUCCCUUUGUAGUGUUACAGUGUGACAGGUGAUGUAUUUGGGUUGCUCUAUGAGCAUACACUUUUGAAUAUCUGACUUCUGUAGAGCAGAAUAUGAUCAUUGCUGUUUUCCAGUAAAGUUAGCAGAAUGGUGAAUGGAAAUGAUUCUGGAACAAGAUUCUUUCUUCUGAUGGAUAUGAUAAACAGUGGCUCUGCUUUAGUCAAAAUGGCCAAGUCAGGCUUUCUGCCCCUGUUGGUCUGUAAAAAUUGUGGAAUUUGUCUAUGUUCAGAUGUCAGAACUAAACCCAUAAGAAUUACUUACCCUCUUGUUACAUUGAUACAUUAAAAAUGUGAUUUAGGAGAAUUACUUUAAGCAGAAUCAUAAGUUGUGCUGUUGGCAAUACUCAAUACUUAGGGCAUAAACCUAUAAUGUUGAAUUACAAAUAAAUACAGGAAAUGCAGGAAUAAGGUAUUUGUUGUUCUUUUUUAGGACAGCUUCCAAAAGCCAUGGGCAGAAGAGGAUCUGUGAUGGAAGUGUAGGAAUGCCCUGGUGAAUGUGCAGAGUGUUCUGUGAGAGCCAUUGCAGGGCUGCCAGGGUAACAGUGCCUCUGCCUUCAUCUUCCAGCUCCCACAGCUGCUGCUGCUCUGCCCUUCUCCUUUCCAGUGUCCCCACAGCCUCUGGCACACUUUGAGUCCGUGUGAUAACCAGGAACUCACCUAAACACACCCUCAGAAGGGUGGGACCUUUGACUUUUCGUUUUUAUUUUUUAUUCCUGUCACUGCUUUCAUGUGGUUUGUUCUGUCACACCAGGGAGGUGCUCUGAGGCUGGGAACCAGUGGCAAGCCCAGGAAAUGACAGCAGCACUGCAAGCUUGGGAUUGAGCUGUGGGCUGAACAUUGAUCUGGGAUGUGAAACACCUUUUCACCUUGUAGGCAUGCAGAAAAGCACUGAGGAAAAAGCUGAUCCAGCUGUUCAGAUUAUUAUGUCAAAUUAUUCUGGGAUCUUAGGCAAAUAAUACCUAUUUUUGGUGACAAAUGUAAAGCCUAUUGAGCACUAGAAAUAGGAUAUUAAGGGUUUAACUUAAAAUUAUGAGCUUCCAGAAUGCUGAUUUUAGGAACUUUUUUCUUCAUUUGCCUAUUCUGCCUCAUAUCUUCCUAAUAAUAAAAAAACCAACAACGAGGUGUUAAGAGGAAAAAAAAAAACUUUGUGAUGAUACUUAGUAGGUGUUUGAAAUUCACUUGUUUCAAAUUUUGAUUACUCUUUGAUAUCAGAUCUUUGUGGUGUAAAAUAGCAAAGGUGAGUUCCAAGCUGCAGGGCAGUAUUGAUGUGUUUAAUUGAUGUGUUUAAUUGGUGAGUUGACACCAGGUGUUCUCAGAGAGUGUGAGUUUUGUUUUUAAAAUUCUGUAUUGGGAAUUGAAAGAAAAAAUAUUUUUAGAUACAAAAACGUGUCUCUUUUGGAUGUCCAGUGAUCCUCUCUCCUUCCCUGCUUCCAUCCAUCCUAAUCUUGCUUUAUUCAGUUACAGCUGUGAGUGAUGUUUUUCUUCCCCUCUUGUGCACUAAAACCCUGCCUCUGCAAUUACUGCUGCUGUUUUAUUGGGGGAAAAUUGCCUUUCAGUCUUUUCUUACAAAGGAAGAAAAUUAAUGGAAUGAGAUUUUCAGCUGCAUUUACAUCUCUGGGUUUGUGUAAAGACUGAACAGAAUCACAGAUUGAUAAACUGAGGGAAAAAUGUUAUCUGUGGAAGGAAUUGAGGACUGAUUCUGGUGUUAAUUAUAGGGAGCAUGUUCUUACCUGUAUUUGCUUUUUUCUUUAAUCAGAAUGGAGCAGAAAUCAAAGAAUGAGAGUGCAUAAAUCAUGGGACAUUACAGAAACACAUUUUGUUGUACAGGGGCUGUUAGGAGACUUGAAAAGCCUCUGAGGUAGUGGGCUACAGUUGCUGUAUUUGAGUUUUGUCACACUGACACAAACUCAGUUCUUAAUGCUGCCUUCAAAGCUUGGCCAACCUCAGAGGGAGCCAAAACCCCCUGUUAUGGAAUUAAGAAAGAUACCUUUAUAUUGAACACCAUUUCCCUUAAAAGCUGCAGAAAGUAAAACACACAAAAAGGUCAGGCAGGAAGACCAUCACUGACACCAAACUUGCAAAUAAAAUAAUUUCUGCAGAGCUCUGUACCAGUAUAUGACAAAAAUGGAAUGAUGUGUCACAGGUCAGUUUGCAGAAUUGUGCUUACAUCAAUAAUCUAUCUGAUUGCUGCAAAUAACUUCUUACUAAGUGUUUUCUAGAGAGGAAAACAGCCUUAUUAAGUAAAAUAAAGGCAAUUUGAGUGAAAAGUGCCAUUAGGGAUCUGAUGAAGGAAAAUACAAAUAGUCCCUUGAAACUGAUUAGGAGAAAGUUAAAAAUUCAUUAGAAUCCUGGAGCUGCCAACACACUAAUGAAGUUGUUGGAUUGCUGAGCUUCUCAAGUCAUGCCCAGCACUGACCAGCCCCAGGGCAGGGCUUGUGUAGCUGCUCUAUUUACAGACAGCUUCUAAAUUUAAUAGUGGUUUACAAAUAUAUUUUGGGUUAGAAACUUUAAUGGUGAUGUGUGAAAGUUGACUGAUUUUAUGUUUGUGUCCUUGUGUUUGUGAGCUGCAACCUCCUAAUAUUUCUAAUCUAUUUUAAACUCUCAGUUUCUGGUUUAUUUCUAUCUAAGAAUCCUGUUAGAAGGUGGCUGGAUUUUAUCUGCAAAGCUUUUGCACUCUGCAAGUUUCAGGUGGCACAAACAGCUUGUGAGAAGUCAAAAAAGUCCUGUAGUUCUGUAGCUGAUGCUGUGCUCUGCUGUGAACUUGAUGCAUGUUGCUGUUUUUCUCUAAUGCUGCAGUCCAUCCUCAGAAAAGCUUUAAGUGCAUUAUAAAAUUGUAAUGUAUUAUGGUCUAGAUAUUAAUUAUACAUAUAGGAAUGUUUC